rnacentral:tRNA from 1 species
GGUCGGUCGCGGCCUUCCCGGAGGGCACCACGUUCUGCGGCGGCGAGCACGGGCGGUUCCGUCCGGCGCUGUUCCAGGCCGCGAUCGACUCC